GGGUUGUGAGGUUAAGCGACUAAGCGUACACGGUGGAUGCCCUGGCAGUCAGAGGCGAUGAAGGACGUGCUAAUCUGCGAUAAGCGUCGGUAAGGUGAUAUGAACCGUUAUAACCGGCGAUUUCCGAAUGGGGAAACCCAGUGUGAUUCGUCACACUAUCAUUAACUGAAUCCAUAGGUUAAUGAGGCGAACCGGGGGAACUGAAACAUCUAAGUACCCCGAGGAAAAGAAAUCAACCGAGAUUCCCCCAGUAGCGGCGAGCGAACGGGGAGCAGCCCAGAGCCUGAAUCAGUGUGUGUGUUAGUGGAAGCGUCUGGAAAGGCGCGCGAUACAGGGUGACAGCCCCGUACACAAAAAUGCACAUGCUGUGAGCU
rnacentral:rRNA from 1 species